GACGAACGCUGGCGGCGUGCUUAACACAUGCAAGUCGAACGGAAAGGCCCUGCUUUUGUGGGGUGCUCGAGUGGCGAACGGGUGAGUAACACGUGAGUAACCUGCCCUUGACUUUGGGAUAACUUCAGGAAACUGGGGCUAAUACCGGAUAGGAGCUCCUGCUGCAUGGUGGGGGUUGGAAAGUUUCGGCGGUUGGGGAUGGACUCGCGGCUUAUCAGCUUGUUGGUGGGGUAGUGGCUUACCAAGGCUUUGACGGGUAGCCGGCCUGAGAGGGUGACCGGCCACAUUGGGACUGAGAUACGGCCCAGACUCCUACGGGAGGCAGCAGGGGGGAAUAUUGCACAAUGGGCGGAAGCCUAAUGCAGCAACGCCGCGUGCGGGAUGACGGCCUUCGGGUUGUAAACCGCUUUCGCCUGUGACGAAGCGUGAGUGACGGUAAUGGGUAAAGAAGCACCGGCUAACUACGUG
rnacentral:rRNA from 1 species